UACGUAGGGACCGAGCGUUGUCCGGAAUCAUUGGGCGUAAAGAGCGUGUAGGCGGCCAACUAAGUCCUGCGUGAAAUCUCGGGGCUCAACCCCGAGCGGUCGUGGGAAACUGGUUGGCUAGAGUGCGGGAGAGGAGAGUGGAAUUCCUGGUGUAGCGGUGAAAUGCGCAGAUAUCAGGAAGAACACCCGUGGCGAAGGCGGCUCUCUGGAACGCAACUGACGCUGAGACGCGAAAAGCGUGGGGAGCAAACAGG
rnacentral:rRNA from 1 species